UCCCUGGUGGCUCAGUGGUAAAGAACCUGCCUGCAACGCAGGAGACCCAGGUUCCAUCCCUGAAUCGGGAA
rnacentral:tRNA from 1 species